GGGCAGAUGGAGUGAGCAUGGGAGGAGGAGUAAAUACCUUUGCGUCUGCGCAGCAGGAGGGUGGUAACUAAGAGGAUGAUGCUGACGCCUGCCAGAGCAAUCGUGGCUCUGUAGAUGGACUUCUGGUCUUCUGCUUCCUGUCUGCAUGACAAGAACCAGGGGAGGGGGUGAAGGGGAAAGCCCUCCGCAAAGCCACCCAAGACAGCGGGGACCAUGGAGCAACUGCAGCCCUGAGCCCCAUCCUCUGUGUCCUCCUCUUUAUCCCCACCUGGGCAGCAGGCUCCCACCACAGCUGGCUGCUGCUGCAGCCUGGUGAGUCUUCCUCCGGAGGGGAUCCAAUACUUAAAAGUGAACAAGCCUCCAGCCUGCCAGACCUAUUAGCACAACAUGGAAACUGUUGAAGAGCCAUUCAUGGGGUAAUGAAGCCAUGUGACAGGCAUUUGCCAAUCCGCAGGUAUAUACGGUUAGUUUCUGAAUUUACUGACCAAAACAGUUGUGCAUUACUGUAAUAUUUACUCAGAACUUGUUAGUCUACAGGACCUUACUUUAAAAUUUACUUUAA